UUACACAAGCCUAUAGCUGGCCUUUCUAGUUGUCGUUACCUUGAUAGGCAGGUUUUGGAAUUAGUUCCUCUACCUGUACAAGAACCAAAUUGGUGCUGUUGUGAGAAGGAUUCUUAUGGCUCCAGAAACCUCUCUAUGUAAGGCAGCUCCCCUUCACUGUGCAGCUCUGGAGGCAGUUUAAAGUUGCAGCACUGCUCAUGUUGGCCACACCACUUCUCCUGAUUGCUUCUUCUACCUUUGUGAUACCAGAAAUUAUGCAGGCCACAGCAGGCAGCUGGGAUAUUUUUCUCACGGAGGUCCAAUCUUACCGUUAAUCAUCUUGUGUUGCUCAUCUCUGGACUUUCUCCAAUUUGUCCACAUCUUUCCUGAAAUAUGGCACCCAAAACUGGACACAAUACUCCAGUUAAGGCCUAAUCAGUGAUUCAACUAGACGUUAGAAGCUAAUUGCCUUCCAUGAGAAUUAUCAUAGAAGAAAUAUCUGAAGUUGUUUUAGAAGCAGUCAUCAUACAAUUAUCUUAGAGUAAGGACUACCACAGAUCACUCUCAAAGAUGUUUUAAUACGUUGUCUGAGAGGUUUUGGAGAAGACGCAGUGGAUUGUGCUGGAGAUCUACAAUAAAAAAAAAUUCUUAACUAAUUACACUUCAGCAUUUUGUAACAAAAAUUCAUACGCUUAAGAGCCCCUCAGAAACAGGGGGAAUGGAGGAAUCCAAGUUUCUGUUCCUCUAUCCUUUCUCCUGCCCUUCUCCCACACCUCCCCACCCCGAAAAAAAACCACCCUGUGUGCAUGUGAAGUACUGAUGGGAAGUACAAUAAAAUUUCUGACUUAAGGUUUCAGCAA